CCCGAUGAGGUAAUUGGUCUAUUUUCAAUUGGAAAUUGCUCAAUAGAAGCUCCCUGGUCCAUUUUCUUGUCGAAGAUACGAUUAAAAGGUUCUGGGCUUGCUUGAAGAUGCCUGUGAAUCGCUGUUGGAAAGCAUGUUAGCAGAGAACAAACACAUUUCAGAUUAAUGAUUUCUGGAUAGGCAGGCC